UUAAGUUCAGCGGGUAUUCCUACCUGAUCCGAGGUCAACCUUUCAGAAAGUCGGGGGGUUUAACGGCGUGGCCGCGCCGCUCUCCGGUGCGAGGUUUCAGAAGAAGCUACUACGCAGAGGAGGCUGCGGCGGGACCGCCACUGUAUUUCGGGGGCGGCGACCCGCUGCGAGGCGGGGCCGGUCCCCAACACCGAGCCCCC
rnacentral:misc_RNA from 1 species